rnacentral:misc_RNA from 1 species
CAACCCUCAAGUGCUUUAGUGCUUGGUGUUGGGGCUUCUGCUGCUUGCAGCAGGCCCUGAAAGAUAGUGGCGAGCUCGCCGUGACCCUGAGCGUAGUAGUUUUACACCUCGCUUCUGUGGCUCGCGGCGGGUUCUCAGCCGUGAAACCCCCAAUUUUCACAA